rnacentral:rRNA from 1 species
UACGAAGGGGGGCUAGCGUUGUUCGGAAUUACUGGGCGUAAAGGGCGCGUAGGCGGUUUGACCAGUCAGGUGUGAAAUUCCCGGGCUUAACCUGGGGGCUGCACUUGAUACUGUCAGGCUUGAAUUCGGGAGAGGAUAGCGGAAUUCCCAGUGUAGAGGUGAAAUUCGUAGAUAUUGGGAAGACCAGUGGCGAAGGCGGGUCUCUGGACAGUUCCUGACGCUGAGGAGCGAAAGCGUGGGGAGCGAACAGG